rnacentral:rRNA from 1 species
GACAGAGGAUGCAAGCGUUAUCCGGAAUGAUUGGGCGUAAAGCGUCUGUAGGUGGCUUUUCAAGUCCGCCGUCAAAUCCCAGGGCUCAACCCUGGACAGGCGGUGGAAACUACCAAGCUGGAGUACGGUAGGGGCAGAGGGAAUUUCCGGUGGAGCGGUGAAAUGCACAGAUAUCAGGAGGAACACCGGUGGCGAAGGCGGUGGUCUGGGCCGGAACUGACGCGUGAGGAGCGAAAGCGUGGGUAGCAAACAGGG